GAAGAAGCUGCUGACGAAGCUGAGCAGCUCAAGGCUGAGGAGGAAAGAGAGCUCAGCAGCAUCCCAGAGGAGGAGGUCAAAUUCGACCCCACGGUGGACACCGUCACACAGAAGAUUUCCGACCCUGAAGAGGAAGAGUCCCAAACCACCCAGUUUGAACUGGAGAGGAAGUUGCUGAGCGAAACAGUCUCACACAGCUGAGCCUGAUAGAGAAUGUUUUGGAAAUGCCAGAAACCUUGGAACCCUACGAGGUGAACAUGUGCCAUUUCGCCCCCCUGGGCGGCGUGUACCACCUGGAAAUCCUGGAGUUGCCCCCUCAAAGCAAACCAGUGAAGGGCUGGGUGUUAGCAGAGGUAGGUAGGAGACUCCUUGGGUCCAUUACAGGUGAGGUACAAGAGUCCUCCACUACAGGUGAGGUAGGAGACUCCCCGGGAUCAAUUACAGAUGAAAUGGCCUCAUUUUUACUUCAAUUCCCACGACCUCAGCAUCUAACUCAUGUUAAUCCUAUCUUGGGAGAACUUCUUACCCAUGAACUUGUUUGUAAACCUACACUAUU
rnacentral:lncRNA from 1 species